rnacentral:rRNA from 1 species
AUUGAACGCUGGCGGCAUGCUUUACACAUGCAAGUCGAACGGUAACAGGUUAAGCUGACGAGUGGCGAACGGGUGAGUAAUGCAUCGGAACGCGCCCGAUCGUGGGGGAUAACGCAGCGAAAGCUGCGCUAAUACCGCAUACGAUCUGAGGAUGAAAGCGGGGGACCGUAAGGCCUCGCGCGAUCGGAGCGGCCGAUGUCAGAUUAGGUAGUUGGUGGGGUAAAGGCUCACCAAGCCAACGAUCUGUAGCUGGUCUGAGAGGACGACCAGCCACACUGGGACUGAGACACGGCCCAGACUCCUACGGGAGGCAGCAGUGGGGAGUUUUGGACAAUGGGCGAAAGCCUGAUCCAGCAAUGCCGCGUGCAGGAAGAAGGCCUUCGGGUUGUAAACUGCUUUUGUACGGAGCGAAAAGGCCCUCUCUAAUACAGUGGGCUCAUGACGGUACCGUAAGAAUAAGCACCGGCUAACUACGUGCCAGCAGCCGCCGUAA